rnacentral:rRNA from 1 species
UACGAAGGGGGCUAGCGUUGCUCGGAAUCACUGGGCGUAAAGGGCGCGUAGGCGGCCGAUCAAGUCAGGGGUGAAAGCCUGUGGCUCAACCACAGAAUUGCCUUUGAUACUGUUUGGCUAGAGACCGGAAGAGGGCAGUGGAACUGCGAGUGUAGAGGUGAAAUUCGUAGAUAUUCGCAAGAACACCAGUGGCGAAGGCGGCUGACUGGUCCGGUUCUGACGCUGAGGCGCGAAAGCGUGGGGAGCAAACAGG